rnacentral:piRNA from 1 species
CCCCCCUUCUCACUACUGCACUU